rnacentral:rRNA from 1 species
GAUGAACGCUGGCGGCGUGCCUAAUACAUGCAAGUCGAGCGAACAGAUGAGGAGCUUGCUCCUCUGACGUUAGCGGCGGACGGGUGAGUAACACGUGGAUAACCUACCUAUAAGACUGGGAUAACUUCGGGAAACCGGAGCUAAUACCGGAUAAUAUAUUGAACCGCAUGGUUCAAUAGUGAAAGACGGUUUUGCUGUCACUUAUAGAUGGAUCCGCGCCGCAUUAGCUAGUUGGUAAGGUAACGGCUUACCAAGGCAACGAUGCGUAGCCGACCUGAGAGGGUGAUCGGCCACACUGGAACUGAGACACGGUCCAGACUCCUACGGGAGGCAGCAGUAGGGAAUCUUCCGCAAUGGGCGAAAGCUUGACGGAGCAACGCCGCGUGAGUGAUGAAGGUCUUCGGUUCGUAAAACUCUGUUAUUAGGGAAGAACAAAUGUGUAAGUAACUAUGCACGUCUUGACGGUACCUAAUCAGAAAGCCACGGCUAACUACGUG